GACGAACCGUGCGAACGUUGUUCGGAUUCACUGGGCUUAAAGGGCGCGUAGGCGGCCGACCAAGUCGGGGGUGAAAUCUUUCGGCUCAACCGGGAGACGGCCCCCGAUACUGGCCGGCUGGAGGGAGGUAGGGGCAGAUGGAACUUCCGGUGGAGCGGUGAAAUGCGUAGAUAUCGGAAGGAACGCCGGUGGCGAAAGCGAUCUGCUGGACCUCCGCUGACGCUGAGGCGCGAAAGCCAGGGGAGCGAACGGG
rnacentral:rRNA from 1 species